AUUUUAACCCUAGAUGGGUAUCGCUGGGUCCGCGCGGACCCACGGCUUAUCUACAUUUUGAAUAUCCAGCUCUAUUUCCCAAAGUAUGACGAGGCAGCAGCUGGCGGCGACUCCAGAGCCAGUGAGGAUGAAGAUCUCGAGGAGAGAGGGCAUACGUCUCCCUCACUCACUAUUGUCCCCGUAAGAUUGGCAGCAACACAUCAUGGCAAAUAGACGAGCUCUAUCAGACGAGGCAGUCCAGGAACUCCUGAAUGAUGUGACUCUAAACAUCGAGGGUGAUGUCACCGUCAUGAUGUUGACACAUCAGCAAUGGAUUAUACCGUGACCCCUCAAAAACCACACGUUUUUGAGGAGUAUAUGUCAGAUGUGGACCUGUCACCUGUUGCAGGCCCAUCAACAAUGCCUGAUCCUGGCCCCUCACAAUACGCAGAACGUCAUCGUUCUGCAAAAAGAAAAUUACUGCCUCGCAUGUCAACGCCAUUACCCAAGAAAAGAGCUGAAAGCACUGUCUCACAACCUGUGCUUGACGCCCAAAACUCCGAUGACACUCAAGACACUAACAACACUCAAGCCCCAUCAACAAAUGGGAACAGAGAACCCAGGACUGAAAGUUCAUCCCAGGAGGCUCCAGCCUCAGAGAAGAUUUUUCCUGUACCUGCAAAUGGUACAGGCUACCUGUAUUCAUUGAAUACAGGUAGCCUAAUUGGUCUUUUUCAUUUGUUCCAGGGACAUCGUUUUUUUUCUCAAAAGGAAGAAUGACACUGUAUUUUUUUUCAAAAAACUAUUGAAUAAAAGGAAUUUACCCUUGUU